rnacentral:misc_RNA from 1 species
GAUGAAGAACGUAGCGAAAUGCGAUAAGUAAUGUGAAUUGCAGAAUUCAGUGAAUCAUCGAAUCUUUGAACACACCUUGCGCUCCUUGGUAUUCCGAGGAGCAUGCCUGUUUGAGUGUCAUUAAAUUCUCAACCAUUAUCAACUUUUGCUGAUAAUGGCUUGGAUGUGGGGGUCUAUUUUGCUGGCUUCUCAGAUAGUCAGCUCCCCUUAAAUGCAUUAGCCGGUGCCCCGCGUGGACUGUCUAUUGGUGUGAUAAUUAUCUACGCUAUAGACAUCUGCAAUCAUAUGGGUUUGCGCUGCUUCUAACAGUCUGUUGAUUCAGACAAUACAUGACAAUUUGACCUCAAAUCAGGUAGGACUACCCGCUGAACUUAAGCAUAUCAAUAAGCGGGAGGA